rnacentral:rRNA from 1 species
GAGGAGCCUGCGGCAGAUUAGCUAGUUGGUGAGGUAAUGGCUCACCAAGGCUGCGAUCUGUAGCUGGUCUGAGAGGACGGCCAGCCACACUGGCACUGACACACGGGCCAGACUCCUACGGGAGGCAGCAGUGGGGAAUUUUGGGCAAUGGGCGAAAGCCUGACCCAGCAACGCCGCGUGAGGGAGGAAAUCCUUCGGGAUGUAAACCUCACAAGUAAGGGAAGAGUGCUGCGGGCUGAAUAAUUCCGCAGUUCGACGGUACCUUACGUAAGCCACGGCUAACUACGUGCCAGCAGCCGCGGUAAUACGUAGGUGGCAAGCGUUGUUCGGAAUUAUUGGGCGUAAAGGGCGCGUAGGCGGCUUGUUAAGUCGGCUGUGAAAGCCCGGGGCUCAACCCCGGAGGGUCGGCCGAUACUGGCGAGCUAGAGUACGGAAGAGGUAGCUGGAAUUCCCGGUGUAGCGGUGAAAUGCGUAGAUAUCGGGAGG